GAUGAACGCUGGCGGCGUGCCUAAUACAUGCAAGUCGAGCGAACAGAUGAGGAGCUUGCUCCUCUGACGUUAGCGGCGGACGGGUGAGUAACACGUGGAUAACCUACCUAUAAGACUGGGAUAACUUCGGGAAACCGGAGCUAAUACCGGAUAAUAUAUUGAACCGCAUGGUUCAAUAGUGAAAGACGGUUUUGCUGUCACUUAUAGAUGGAUCCGCGCCACAUUAGCUAGUUGGUAAGGUAAUGGCUUACCAAGGCAACGAUGCGUAGCCGACCUGAGAGGGUGAUCGGCCACACUGGAACUGAGACACGGUCCAGACUCCUACGGGAGGCAGCAGUAGGGAAUCUUCCGCAAUGGGCGAAAGCCUGACGGAGCAACGCCGCGUGAGUGAUGAAGGUCUUCGGAUCGUAAAACUCUGUUAUUAGGGAAGAACAAAUGUGUAAGUAACUAUGCACGUCUUGACGGUACCUAAUCAGAAAGCCACGGCUAACUACGUG
rnacentral:rRNA from 1 species